AGCCAGCAGGGACGGCUCUUUGAUCCCAGGCAGCGCUUCCAGCGCGUUUCCCUGCGCCAUCGCACACCCGGGCUUUGAACGGCGCUCCGCACAAACAGCCCUGCCAGGAAAACUCCUUCUCCCGGCUUCUUUUGCUGCGAGCAAGCUCCGAUAGGGAUCGCCGAGAAUAAAGUCACUUCAUUUACAAACCGGGGAGCCAAAUCUGAUAGACAUCAACAUUCGAGGGAGAAAACAGCUUCUGAGCCAUCCCUUCUCCUCUGUGAUCAAAGAAAGGAAGUCCAACACCAACCAGCGUGGAUCAGAAGAUGUGAAAUUGGACUGUUCAUCUUUAGACCAAGGAAGAGACUCUUGCCAGAGUAGGAGCAAAAGAACAGCAUCAAAGGCUGCCACCCAAGUCAAGGUGAGAGUCUCUUCCUUGGCAUCUGACAAAGGAAAAGGAGGAACAGGUCAAACACAAUGCUGCUGCCAUGGCCAGGCAGGGACAGCGCUGUCACUUCCAGACAGAAAGGCUUCACAGUUUGGAAAAUUGAUUUUAUGUGGAAGAAAGCCCUCUAAAGUAACAGAAUGGUCUGUCAGAAAUCAUCUGAAAUUUGUAUGCUGUUUUUCUCAAUAAAAAGCAAAAACCAAA